rnacentral:rRNA from 1 species
AACGUAGGUCCCGAGCGUUAUCCGGAUUUACUGGGCGUAAAGGGCGUUCAGGCGGUGGGCUAAGUCAGGCAUGAAAUCUCACGGCUCAACCGAGGAACUGCGACGGAUACUGCUUGGCUUGAGUCCCGGAGAGGGUAGCGGAAUUCCCAGUGUAGCGGUGAAAUGCGUAGAUAUUGGGAGGAACAUCGGUGGCGAAGGCGGCUACCUGGACGGGUACUGACGCUGAGGCGCGAAAGCUAGGGGAGCAAACAGG